GACGAACGCUGGCGGCGUGCUUAACACAUGCAAGUCGAACGGAAAGGCCCUGCUUUUGUGGGGUGCUCGAGUGGCGAACGGGUGAGUAACACGUGAGUAACCUGCCCUUGACUUUGGGAUAACUUCAGGAAACUGGGGCUAAUACCGGAUAGGAGCUCCUGCUGCAUGGUGGGGGGUGGAAAGUUUCGGCGGUUGGGGAUGGACUCGCGGCUUUUCAGCUUGUUGGUGGGGUAGUGGCUUACCAAGGCUUUGACGGGUAGCCGGCCUGAGAGGGUGACCGGACACAUUGGGACUGAGCUACGGCCCAGACUCCUACGGGAGGCAGCAGUGGGGAAUAUUGCACAAUGGGCGGAAGCCUGAUGCAGCAACGCCGCGUGCGGGAUGACGGCCUUCGGGUUGUAAACCGCUUUCGCCUGUGACGAAGCGUGAGUGACGGUAAUGGGUAAAGAAGCACCGGCUAACUACGUG
rnacentral:rRNA from 1 species